GAUCUUAUUUCUCUUUGAUUUGUGUUUGGCCCCUUCGGAAUCAAUUGUGAGACACUAGAAUUCUUCUCAACUUAUUUGGUUUCUAGUUGAACCCAUACUCACUGGAUUUUAUGCUUCAAAACAAUAUUGGUUGGGUUCUCCUAUAUGCACUUAGAUAUUUUACAUAUGCAUGUUGCACAUUUAAUUUAAGAAUCUACGAUUGCUCAUCAUUUCUAUGUUAGCCUGUUAGCACACUUUCUUAAUCUAUGAUUUUUCAUAAUCAUCCUGAACAUUCAUACACCAAAGUUCAUAAAAUCCACACAGACUUUUAUAUUUCACAUACAAAUUUGAACAAACAGCCUACUUAGUAAAGAAGAGAUCAACAAUUCUGGCAUGUGAGUCAAGUAUCAGAAAAUUCCUUGUUUGCUAUGAGAACUUGAAAUAGAUCUCAACAAAAAUAUACAAAAACCAUGACAAGUAACAUGGCUAAACAGAUGCCAUUAGGCUCUCUCUAAAUAUCUGUUAAAACAAUCUCCAGUAGCAUUUUUUUAAUGGUUUCUUUCAUAGUUAUCUCAUGAAUUUUCACCGCCCCUUUUAACAAAGCAUCCAAAGUUAUACAUUCCAUUAUGCAGAAUGCCAUGUUAGGUCUUCUUUGCGUUGUCUUUUCUUUUUCUAUUUUUUUCCAACUUUUUUCCAUUUCCAAGAUUUUGCAAAUAUGGGAUUUCUUUUUUUUUUUCUCUAUUUACGCCUCUUUCUUUGAAAAUUAUGAAAAUUGAACACUAAAAAUAAAAUAGAAAACGGUCUUGCAAACCAAACAAAAAUUGAAAAACCCAAGCAAUACAUGUCGCAAUUAAGAGCUUAUGAAUUUGAUUGCAUGACAAUUAUAACAACUAAUCAUUACAACCUUAAUCACCAAUCAAUAUUAAUAGCAUAAAAGUUUAUUGCAAGACUAGUGAACUGCUAUGAUUGAGGUUAACACAAAACUACUAAUUGUGACAACAGAAUUAGUAUAUAAAUAAAAAUCAUAUAAUUGAGACCAAACUUUGAUAUUGAGUGAGAGAGAUUAUCUUCUAAAUACUUAAGGAGUAAGGACUACGAUUUUAAAAGCUCUUAAUUGGUAUGUACCAUGAUUAUCUGUUAGGAACUAAUUUCCAAGUCAAGGUUAAAGUACACAUGGUAUGGAGAAAAUGUCAUGGAGGUGAACUCCAAUUAUCCUAAACAAAAUUCAAGUUAAAUAAAUAAUAGAAGAAAGGUACCUAUUCAAACCUAGAUAAAAGUUCUAAAUGUCAACAAUAGAUUUUUUACUGAUAACUGUAAAGCAAGAGAUCCAUGUCAUCCUUAAUAUAUUGUCUAUGAGUAGACCUUGAAAGCUACCUUUCUUUUCAAGGCAUUCAUAUCUCCACCACUUUUAACAUGAGAACCACUUUCUUCAUUUCCAAAUAAGACUCUUCCAAGUUACUACUUUACAAAAUCAGAAUAUAAUGUUUGAUCUGUCAAAUUAAAGGAGGGUAAGUAAAAUAUAUCCUCUCUUAAUACUAUUAAUUCAUUGUCUAUAUAAAGUCUUGAACAGUGAAUUCUUGAUAAUAAUAGAAGGUUCUCCAGCUUUUUUAAAUUGGAGCCAGUUUUCCUUUAAAAGAUUACUAAAUAUAAAGAGUACUAAUCAAGUUAUUUAAAGCAUUAGGUAAAGUUAUUUAGUGCUUGACUAAGCAUUUAGAUAAGCUGAGUUCUAAUUUGAUUGGUACAUUGGGUUGUUGGAGCCUCAUGGAUCCAAUUUUCAGAGCUAAGAUGAUAAAUCGGAUAAUAAUUUUGCUGUGCUUGUUUCUUGUUAUAGUCUUAUAGACCUGGAUGCAAGGAGGCUAAGGGUUCCAACAAUGAGCUAUUGAGUGCCAUCAAGAAUAUCCCAAAUGAGUUUUCUUCUAGUAAGAUUUACUUCAAUAUUAACUGUGAAACAAACAUGAAAGGUAGGCAUUAGACAAUGUGGUUUAACUAACUAAAUUAAAAAGGUGAUUCAAUAAACCCUUUGUAAACAUAUCCAAAUAUUGAAGUAAAAUGUAUUUCUUACUUCACUCCAUAGGCAAUGUGGUUUAAUUAACUAAAUUAAAAGGGUGACAAUAUGGUUGACAGCACCAUGUAAAUGUCAUGUCAAUUGUAUUUCUUGUUUUAUUGUUAAUGGAAUCUAAUAGCCAAAAAGACAAAAAAAAAAAAUAAAAGAUGAAACUAAUAGCAAUGAAUUAGUAUGACUCCCAUACCAUUUGGAAAUUAUGAUAAGAUUAUAAGAACAACUAUGCUAAACUGAAAGUAUGCAGCAAGAUAGGUCAACAAAUUUAGGCUUGAUGUUUGUGUUGAGUUUUACGAUUCUGAAGCUCAUACUCCACAUUCAGUUGGUUUAUUGUGUAGUAAAUAGAACCUUUUUUCUAUUUAUGGAUUAGUGUAGUAUGCAUGUUAUUUCUAUUUAUCCGCCUAUAAUCACUUACAGAAAUGCAAGAAAACCCUUAGUUUUAUGUACAAUGUGGCAUUUAUUUGCGUGUGGUUGUUAAGGACUUUAUCCCCUGCAUCUAAUCAGGAUAGAAAAGUAUGUUGUUCGUAUAUUUUUAGUUUUAUUUGAGGUUCUAAGAUCUGUUAAACUUUUGAUUGUAUCUUCUAAUAUUAUUCAUAAGUUACAAAAAAAAAAAAGAUUUAAUGGUUAUAGGCUACUCCCAAUGGGGUUGUGACUCUACCAGGUUGAGUACAUUUUAAUGAUAAACACAUGUUCACUUUUCACUAACUCACAUGUUCAGUACGGUAGUUUCAUUUUUAGACAAGUUUCACGGUCUCCUUAUAGCAAGCAUUCUCAGCGCAGGCAUUCUCCCUACUCUUCUCUUGAUAAUUCCACGUUUGUUGCCAUAUUAGUUUUUAUAUGAAAACACUAAAAUUUUCAAUAUCCUUUGUAUUAAACAACUGUAGAAGCAAAUUAAAUGGAAGUUUUUAAUAAUUAAGAAGAAGCUAAGAAAUUACAAGUUUCCAUUUUGGCCGAAAUAUGUGCAGGAGUGCGUGGAUAGCUUCUUGAAAAACAUAUAUAUGUAGAAUUGGGUGACUAAGUAGAGGUCAAAGAAUGAUUCAUUCUCAAAAUUUGGAUUAGUAGAGCAAAUAAAUAUCACUGCUGAUAAGAGUGACUAUUUGUGGUACUCAUUAAGCAUUGAUUUUGAAGAUGAUGUUAGUGCUCAAACUGUUCUUCACAUCGAAUCCUUUGGACAUUCCCUUCAUGCUUUCAUAAAUGGGAAGCUUGCAGGGAGUGAAAAAUGGAAACAGUGGCAAUGCUAAAGUCAACGUGGAUAUCCUCAUCACACUUGUAGCUGGGAAGAACACAAUUUGAUCUCUUGAGUUUAACCGUGGGUCUUCAAGGUGCUAGGAUCACUGGGCCAGUGACAUUGAAAGGGUUGAAGAAUGGAACUACUAUUGAUCUCUCCUCCCAGCAACGAUCAUAUCAGAUUGGUCUUCAAGGUGAAGACUUAGGUCAAUCUAGUGGCAGUGUUGGACAGUAGAACCCACAGUCAAACUUACCCUCAGAAUCAGGAAGAUCAGGGCCAGUUUUGUCACUAGUGUGUCCUAAUCCUAAGCAGAUCAUCUUUUCUAUUAAAUUCUCCAGUUUUGGCACGCCGAGUGGGACUUGUGGAAACUUCAACCAUGGUAGCUGCAGCAGCAACAAGGCUCUAUACAUUGUUAAGAAGGCCUGCAUUGGAUUAAGCAGCUGUAAAAAUUAAUGUAUCAAUUGAUACAUUUGGAGAUCCAUGUAGAAGAGUAACUAAAAGUCUUGCUGUUGAAGCUUCUUGUACAUAGACAUUGUUGCUUCAUGAAGUACCUACCCUUCUUCAUAGCUUGGACAUGAAGGAUCUUAGAUUUUUUUUAGUUGAAAAAUCAUGAUUACUGCUGAUUGAUUAGCCAAAUAUAAAAAUGGUGAAUGAAAUAUUCUAAAUAAAAUAGUAUAUUAAAUGUAAAUCCAUUAGUUCAUACCUUAUCUUAAAGUUUAUAUUAUUAUUAUAUUAUAUUUAUAAA